rnacentral:rRNA from 1 species
UACGUAGGUGGCAAGCGUUGUCCGGAUUUACUGGGCGUAAAGGAUGCGUAGGCGGACAUUUAAGUCAGAUGUGAAAUACCCGAGCUUAACUUGGGUGCUGCAUUUGAAACUGGGUGUCUAGAGUGCAGGAGAGGUAAGUGGAAUUCCUAGUAUAGCGGUGAAAUGCGUAGAGAUUAGGAAGAACACCAGUGGCGAAGGCGACUUACUGGACACAUAUUGACGCUGAGGUGCGAAAGCGUGGGGAGCAAACAGG